rnacentral:lncRNA from 1 species
UUCUUUAAGAUUUUUAGAGUAGGUCCUGAUGUAAGAUCACAAACACUGAUCAACACAUAAAAAAUUAAACAAGAACAAAACGAGUGUGUACCUACAAGUUUUAUUUUCUUUACUUUCAUUUCAUCUCAUCUCUGCUAGAGUUUUUUUUUUCUUUAUUUACCUUUAAGAGUCAAGAAGGUCACAAAAUAUAUACCAAUGAGUUCAAAAGCAACCAUUGUCUUCUUUUCUCUCACCACAUGCUCUAUGUUGAGAAAGCUAAGCUUUCGAGACCCACAAAACAGAAACAAAGUUAAUUUUCUGCUAAUGUUCCUGAAAAGACCCGACCCGUUUUUUGUUUUAAUCAUUGAAACCGGAAUAACCCAAAUAGUGCAAACCAACUAACCCAGCUAAAUUAAUUUAGACAAUUUAACCAGCUAAACCGGUCCUAAUCGAUUAAACCAGUUCAUUCCAGUUUAAACCUUUUAGUCAACAAUUCCAAAUUAACCUAAACAGAUAACAAUAACCAGCGGAAGACUUAACCAAAAAUCCAAAAACAUAAAUGCAUUGAACCAUCAAAUAUUCCAAUGUCAAAACUAGUCAUCAUCCAGAGGUAGAAUAACAUCGUAACAUGUUUCUAAAUUUCAGACUAACAACCUAGCAAUGCAAUACCAUAAAAACUCUACACAACCAACGAGCUCCUAGAUCAUUCCGCUCUCCACGCCUUAAUUCCACGGUCACACUUUUCCUUUACAUGCAUCACAGAAAGAGAUGCAUAAGUAUUUCCAGAAAUACUUAGUAAGGCGAUCAUCCCACUCACCACUGGUGUCGAUUAACACCGAAACCCUAACAUCACUCCAGUCGCUUCUCAUCGACGGAACUCUACUCCUCUAUGCUAUAGGGCCGAUCAAAACCACCACAAGGCUUGUCCAGAUGCACCACAACACAGAAACAAGGCAUACAAACAAUUAAAAUCAUGCACCAAUCAAAGAAAUCACCAAAACAUGAAUCAACUGCUUAGAUAAGCCUUGGUCUGCACUCACCUUUGAAAAUAGAAUGAAAAGCAACGAAAACAGGGACACUCAGAAGGAAAUAAGCUCUUUUAACAUCACACACCACAUAUGCACUCUCAUUUAGGCUGGAAACACCAAGAACAAGCCCCAAAGUCUCCAAAAAGUCACUCAAAGGCACCACAAGGAUCAAUCUCUCACUCUCUGCUUUUCUCUCUUUUUCACAAAGCGACAAAUGACUAAGAAUUAGAAAAACAGCGCCCCCUCAACCUUAAGUCGACCUAGGUAUUCCCAACACCAAUCCGCAAUUGAACUGACGAUUUAAAACUUAAAUUGUCAAACAAAAAAUUACAUGUGUCAAUCGACACCCUUCCUUUGUGUCGAUGGUGAUGGUACUAGUGUAGCUGGGAACCCAGUUGCGGGUGUUCCAACAAGUGGGCCCAAGGUAAGAAUGAUCGUCUUACAGAUUUACUGACGCAGCUUUUGGAGCAGUUACCGGUAGUGGUACCAAUGCAGGCUCCAGUUGAACCACCAGGGGUUGCGGGUGUGCAGCCAGUUGGGCCAGGUGGACCUGGUGUGCAACCAAGUGUUCCCAAUGUGAAGUUAGGUGUCGGGGCUAUGCAGCCACAGGGGGGAAGGCGUGAUUGUUGAGCAGCCGCAAUACUUGCGGAUGAUGGAGCAAAGGUUGUUCUUUAGGGGUUCUGAUCCUGCUGUAGCGGAUGAGUAGCGAGUGACACAGGAGCAGUAAUUCCAAUCUAUGAGGUGCCCAAAGGCGUACCGGGUGCACCAAGCCGCUCACUACUUGGCCGGUGACGGACACUUGUGUUGGCCAACAGGGAGUAAAGGUUGAUGGUGUAGGGGGACUUCUUGGUGGAGUUCAAUGCCAAGUAAUUCCCGGCGGACGCAUUAGACUGUGUCUCUUGUGUUAUGGUGCCUUUGGACGAGUCUUAUGGAGUGGAUACACGGCCAUGAAGUGUGUGGAAGGGCAGAUCCGUUGAUGAGAAGCGGCUGGAGUGAUGUUAGGGCAUCAAUGUCAACCGACACCAGUGGCGAGUGUCAAUCAACACCAGUGGCGAGUGUCGACCGACACUACUCGUCAUGUCGGAUUAUGUGAUUAUUGUUAUUAUCAUUUUAUGGUUGUUGGUUAUUGCAUGAAUGUAAAUUAUGCUGUUGUGGGGAUGAAUGCCACACUUAGUAUUUAUGAAAUACUUAUUCUUCCCUUUUCUAUGAUGCAUGUAAAGGCAAAAUGUGAACCGUGGAAUCAUGGCGAUGAGAAGAGGAGGAUCUAGGGUCUCGCUGUUUUGCUAGACAUGGAAUUUAGAAGCAUCGACUAUAACUGCUCGUUCUCUCCAUAAAACCCAGAUUCGAUCGUCAUAUGUAACUUCCAUCGAUCCUAGUCGACCCCAGAACCACAUUCUCGAUAAACUAAUAGUUUAUCGAUAAGAAUCACCUAUGAAUCUUCAUCCUCGACGACGCUCACCUUUCUCUCGAUACAUCUCGAUGAUUCUCGACACACCAUCGUAAUCUCGACUAUUUCCACCAGAUUUUACUCAACCUUUAGCUUAGAACCGACGAUAAUCUCUUCAUCAUCGACAUCUCUCAAUAUUUCUCAAAAAACUCUCUCCUCUUCUAUCUACUCUCGAGACUCUCUCGCAAAGAUAACAUAAGUCACGAAGAACAUCGAGUAACUUCCUUUUUAAUCGAUUAUUCUUUGAAAAAAUAGUCAAGUAACCGCCACUUAACUCAGAUCCGCGAGUUUUCUCAAGAAAGUAACCGUUCCCGCCAAUUCUCUCGAAGCACUAUCGAAGACAUCGGCAACUGCUCGACCAACACUAUCGGAUUCUCGACCAACCUUGUCUUAAUCCGACAACACUUGUUCGAAAAUCACGCUUGGACCAAGUAACCGUCAGCUUACUCUGAAAAAUACGGUAAACAGUCAAUUCUCUCGGUAAUCUCUGAAUUUCUCGGAAGUACUUAUAUUCCAUCGAUGAAUAUUGAUAUCUAUCGAUAAACUUUAGAUCAACAUAUUUUCCUUCGAUAAUCCUUCGAACAUUGAUCUCAAUCCUUGAUCACAAGCUCGACUAGAAUACCCGGACACGGAUGCUACAGUUUCCCCCGAACAAGGCCGACCGAGGUUCCCAAGGAAGGAUACGGGUUAGUCGGUAUCUCCGUGGCCAAUGCGCUCGAGGCUACCUGUCCCUCUUUGUUGGAAUUAUUGUCAGGCUUUUCCACCCAAACCCCAAAAUAAACAAUGUUAGAAAAGCGUUAGCGGAAGCAUAGAAACAAAUAACAAUCAAAGCAAGGAAGAUAGGACAAGAUAGACAAUACUUGACUCGACACAAGCUAAGACUCUCUAGACUCUCUAGAGUCCUAACAUUCUGAUCCAUUCCUAUACAUAAUUAUCUCUCGUUGAAGCCACAAAGGCAUCCAACCGGAGGAAACGUUUUGGCUAAAUCGUCGUGCAGCUUCAUGGCCUAAUCCCGAGUUAUGUACCAAGCACCAUGGUCAAAAUCUAAGGGACCACAAAGGUCAGCCCUUCGAGACACGCAUCGCCAUUGCCGAGGAAACAUAUUAUUUACUUAAGGAUCAAAUCUACAGAUCUGCAACUAAGGACAUAGAAAAGCAAAAACUUCUACGCAAGAAAACUAAUACUAAAAAGGUCGAUAAACAAGCAAACAAGCAAGCAAUAACAAGCAAUCAUCAAGUAAGCUAAGCACACAACGAACAAGAAAGCAAGGGUUCUUUCAAGGUGAUAAUUCUUGGGUAUAUGAAGAAACUAUCAAGAAAAACCUAUUCAUAUUAGCAUGCAAGUUCGUUUUAGUUGGUUAGAUUUUAGGCAAGCAAACUAUCUUGAAACUAGGCCAGAUCUUUAAACAUGCGAAUUCAUUUUUGCAGAAAAUAUAAGCUAUCAUGCAAGGCUACGAAAUAAAAGCAAGCAAAGCAUGCAAUAGGUGCCGUAAAAAAGUCCGAAGACUUAUGCAGCACCCCACAUAAUUGUACCACAACUCACAGUUCUUAUAGAUGGUUUUGAUCGGGCUCCUUUCUUUCACCGAGGAUUGCUACAAACGGUCUUCUUUUCUUCUUGACCUUCGGUAGCUUUGGUCUCGUACCUUGGCAGCACGGAUCCUUGAACUUCGGCAGCAGUUCACUCGAUAAGGGAGCAGUUUUCUCGAGAAAACGAGAGAACUUCAAGAGAGAUACAGAAAAUCUCGAGAGAAUGAAAGCUUUUUUAUCUUUUCG